rnacentral:rRNA from 1 species
UUCCGGUUGAUCCUGCCGGACCCUACUGCUAUCGGGGUGGGACUAAGACAUGCGAGUCGAGCGUCUCUAGUUAUGGUGAGACGCGGCAGACGGCUCAGUAACACGUGGCUAACCUACCCUCAGGACAGGGACAAACCCGGGAAACUGGGGCUAAUACCCGAUAGGCGAGGGCGCCUGGAAUGGUUCUUCACCCAAAGGGCUUUGGAAGCAUGCUUUUCAAAGUCGCCUGGGGAUGGGGCCGCGUCCGAUCAGGUUGUUGGUGAGGUAACGGCUCACCAAGCCUAUAACCGGUACGGGCCGUGAGAGCGGAAGCCCGGAGAUGGGCACUGAGAUAAGGGCCCAGGCCCUACGGGGCGCAGCAGUUACGAAAACUCCGCAAUGCACGAAAGUGUGACGGGGCUACCCCGAGUGCCGUCCGCUGAGGAUGGCUUUUCUCCGCUGUAAGGAGGCGGAGGAAUAAGGAGAGGGCAAGACUGGUGUCAGCCGCCGCGGUAAUACCAGCUCUCCGAGUGGUAGGGAUGAUUAUUGGGCUUAAAGCGUCCGUAGCCGGCCUAGCAAGUCUUCCGUUAAAUCCAGCAACCUAAUUGUUGGGCUGCGGGGGAUACUGUUAGGCUAGGGGGCGGGAGAGGCCGACGGUAUUCUCGGGGUAGGGGUGAAAUCUUAUAAUCCCGGGAGGACCACCAGUGGCGAAGGCUGUCGGCUAGCACGCGCCUGACGGUGAGGGACGAAAGCUGGGGGAGCGAACCGGAUUAGAUACCCGGGUAGUCCCUGCUGUAAACGAUGCGAGCUAGGUGUUGGGGCGGCUACGAGCCGCUUCAGUGCCGCAGCGAAAGCGUUAAGCUCGCCGCCUGGGAGUACGGCGCAAGGCUGAAACUUAAAGGAAUUGGCGGGGAGCACACAGACGUGAAGCUUGCGUUCAAUUGGAUCACGC